GAUGAAGAACGUAGCGAAAUGCGAUAAGUAAUGUGAAUUGCAGAAUUCAGUGAAUCAUCGAAUCUUUGAACGCACAUUGCGCCCCUUGGUAUUCCGAGGGGCAUGCCUGUUCGAGCGUCAUUAUAACCCCUCAAGCUCAGCUUGGUGUUGGGGCCUGCUGCACUGGCAGCCCUUAAAAUCAGUGGCGGCGCCAUCUGGCUCUAAGCGUAGUAAUUCUUCUCGCUAUGGAGUCCUGGUGGAUGCCUGCCAUCAACCCCCAAUUUUUCUAUGGUUGACCUCGGAUCAGGUAGGGAUACCCGCUGAACUUAAGCAUAUCAAUAAGCGGAGGA
rnacentral:misc_RNA from 1 species